GGUCCUCCUGGAUUGCCUGGAGAUAGGGGUCGGAUUGGCUCUAGUGGACCUGCAGGAAAACGUGGUAUGGCAGGAAAUCCUGGAAAGACAGGUCCAAUUGGCCCCAUUGGAAUCCCUGGAGCACACGGAUUUCCUGGCAGUCCUGGCAUGAAGGGUGAGGCAGGACCUACAGGUCCUCGAGGUGCAAGUGGGGCACAGG